GACGAACGCCGGCGGCGUGCCUAAUACAUGCAAGUAGAACGCUGGAGGAGGAGCUUGCUUCUCUGGAUGAGUUGCGAACGGGUGAGUAACGCGUAGGUAACCUGCCUGGUAGCGGGGGAUAACUAUUGGAAACGAUGGCUAAUACCGCAUAAUAGUAGAUGUUGCAUGACAUUUGCUUAAAAGGUGCAAUUGCAUCACUACCAGAUGGACCUGCGUUGUAUUAGCUAGUUGGUGAGGUAACGGCUCACCAAGGCGACGAUACAUAGCCGACCUGAGAGGGUGAUCGGCCACACUGGGACUGAGACACGGCCCAGACUCCUACGGGAGGCAGCAGUAGGGAAUCUUCGGCAAUGGACGGAAGUCUGACCGAGCAACGCCGCGUGAGUGAAGAAGGUUUUCGGAUCGUAAAGCUCUGUUGUAAGAGAAGAACGAGUGUGAGAGUGGAAAGUUCACACUGUGACGGUAUCUUACCAGAAAGGGACGGCUAACUACGUG
rnacentral:rRNA from 1 species